rnacentral:rRNA from 1 species
UACGAAGGGGGCUAGCGUUGCUCGGAAUGACUGGGCGUAAAGGGCGCGUAGGCGGAUGGCACAGUCAGAUGUGAAAUUCCUGGGCUUAACCUGGGGGCUGCAUUUGAUACGUGUGAUCUAGAGUGAGGAAGAGGGUUGUGGAAUUCCCAGUGUAGAGGUGAAAUUCGUAGAUAUUGGGAAGAACACCGGUGGCGAAGGCGGCUCUCUGGGCCUUACCUGACACUGAGGAGCGAAAGCGUGGGGAGCGAACAGG